CUUUGCCUUCGCGGCGCUGGCCGUGGUUUUCUCGUCUUACAUCACCCUGGUGGUGCUCUUCGUCCCCAAGAUGCGGCGCCUGAUCACGCGUGGCGAGUGGCAGUCGGAGCAGCAGGACACCAUGAAAACCGGCUCCUCCACCAA